rnacentral:rRNA from 1 species
UACGGGGGGAGCAAGCGUUGUUCGGAUUUACUGGGCGUAAAGGGCGCGUAGGCGGCCAGCACAAGUCAGUUGUGAAAUCUCCGAGCUUAACUCGGAAAGGUCAACUGAUACUGUGCGGCUAGAGUGCGGAAGGGGCAACUGGAAUUCUUGGUGUAGCGGUGAAAUGCGUAGAUAUCAAGAGGAACACCUGCGGCGAAGGCGGGUGCUGGGCCGACACGUGACGCUGAGGCGCGAAAGCUAGGGAGCGAACAGG